rnacentral:rRNA from 1 species
GACAGAGGUGCCAAGCGUUAGGCGGAAUCACUGGGCUUAAAGCGUGUGUAGGCGGAAUGGUAAGUACCUUGUGAAAUCCCACGGCUCAACCGUGGAACUGCUUGGUAUACUGCUUUUCUUGAGCCACUUAGGGGCAACCGGAACAAACGGUGGAGCGGUGAAAUGCGUAGAUAUCGUUUGGAACGCCAAUGGUGAAAACAGGGUUGCUGGGAGUGUGCUGACGCUGAGACACGAAAGCCAGGGGAGCAAACGGG